UUUCUCUUUCUCAGGCAGAGGACGGCGCGGGUGGGCGGCGGAGCAGGCGAGCUCCGGCGGCGGCGGUGGCCGUGGUCGGCGCCGCCGCUCCGCGUGAAGGCGAGCAGCGCGGCGGCGCCCUAGACGCCAUCGACGCUGCCAUCCAUGUCGCCGCCGCCGACCACCCGGACGCCCUCCGCGCGCGCCGGGACGGCAUUGCCAAGCGCCUCUACACCGCGCUCGUCAUGCUCCCGCCGCUGCUUGCCGCCGCUCCACAAGCCGUCUACGCCGCGCUCUCCCCUCCCGACGCCGUGCUCCGUCUCCUCGCCUCCCUCCCCUGCGCCCCCAAUUCCUUCAUGCUCAACACCACGCUCCGUGCCCUCGCCUUCUCCCCCAACCCGGCCUCCGCCCUCGGCUUCUUCUCCCUGUCCGCCGCGACAGCGGCAACAGCAGCGGCAGCGGCGGCUCGUACUCCCCUCACUCCCUCCCGGGCACGCGCGUAUGGGAAAGGGGAAGAGGAACGAAGGAGCUAGAGCCGUGCCGAGCUCCCUCCUCUCCCGCCGGCGAGCUAGAAGGGCGGCGGACGGCUAGGCGAGCUCCCUGGCCUACCGGCGAGCGCGCGGGCGUCGCUCCCUCCUCUCCCGCCGGCGCCACACCUGUGCGUCAGCCAUCCGUGUGCGGUCCGUGCGAGGCGCCGCUCCAGGCGUGCAGGCUUCCACGCGCCUCCUUCCUCGCUCGCCGUCGCCCUCCCUUCCACUGUAUGUGAAUCUCGUUGCUGUGAACUCAAUUUGGUUUGAAGUGAUCGAUCGUGGUCACAACUUAAUCCAUCUGUUGCGCAAGAGAGAGAUGGCCGCCUCUGCCCCACGCGCCUCGCGUGCCGCCGCGCACGCCAUCGCCCGCCGCCAGCCAUGCGCUGUACAUCGCCGGCGCCGCCUACCGCCGCCGCGCCGCCCGUCGUGCUGGACGCCGCCCGGCGAGAGGAGGGAGCAGAGAGAUGGGGAGAGCUGGAGAGAGGAGGAAGAAGAGGAUUGGAUUUGAUCAUUUGGGAAUGACAUGUCAUUUGGGCCCCUCCAUAUUUAUUUUUAAAUUAUUUUUUCUAUGGUUGAAUUGUGGGACCACGAUUUUUAUUACUUUUCCAA